GGAUCUGGUUUGUUUUUUUCGAGUUUGGUUUCGUUAACGCGUGAAACAUAGCUUUUGUUGGUUCAUCCGAGAUUAGGGGUUCAUCGUUCCCUUCCUUCCUUACAGAACUCAAACCGCCAUUUUAUCAUUUCAUGAUCUGGAAAACUACCUCUUCUCUUCUCAUCUCUAAACCUCCCCUGACGUUAUCUCUUCACCUCCUCUGAGAUAUGAGCGACUUGUGAGGAUGAUUGACCCUCAGAACCACCGUUAGUUUAUCAGAGAUGGCUUCCUCCGAUAUUGUUCUCGUGCACUCCACCUUCGACGCUCUCCUACUCGGUAGAUCUGCCCAGACCAUUGGUUGUCGUCGCCUCCAUUUUUGGACUCGAAAAACAUCAAGAAGCAAGGUGAAUUCAUGGGAAUUACUCUACUCCUCCUUUAUGAGAAGAAAUCGGAGAUACAUGGGUUCAUUCUUGCUGGUCGAGCCCCUUAUUACCAUCCGUCUUUACGAGCAGGUUCAGUCGUGAGAGUCUCAGGAUAUGAAGUUGCAAGAUGUACAAAUAUGUAAAA